rnacentral:rRNA from 1 species
AUCCAAUAAUAACACCUGAAAUAAGCAAGAUUACCCGC